GGAAAGUGUUGGAAGCCUGUCAACAGAAGUCUUUUAAAUUAAUUACCCAGUGAAAGUUAUGUGAUCCAGAGGGCAGUUUGGACUGUAUUUAGGGAUGACUUGGAAAUCAAAUCAAAAUGUAGCAAUUUGUAAGCAAGCUUUCCUACAAAGAGGCUGCCUGACUGGUGCUAAGGUAUUUCAGGCAGCUGACAAUCUGAAAUGCUGCCAGCACAGACUUCUGGCCAGCUCACAGCACAGUAAUAGCUCUCAAUAUAAGUUCUCCAGAAUCCAUCUCAAACAAGAUGAUUGUAUCCUAUGAGCCAUGAAAAGUUGAUAUGGGAAAAAAGAGACACAGGAGAAGGACACAAAACUGGAUGGUCUGAUGCCUCAGAAGUGCCAACAAUCCCCUCUUCUCACUGGAGUCAGG